rnacentral:RNase_P_RNA from 1 species
CCAGAUGGUCGGAUGGUCGCCUUCGUGUCUUCGGGUGCGGGGGAGGAAAGUCCGGGCUCCACGGAAACAUGGUGCCGGGUAAUGCCCGGCGGGGGCAACCUCAGGGAAAGUGCCACAGAAAGUAAACCGCCAGGCUAGUUUUUGGUUAGCCUGGUAAGGGUGAAAGGGUGUGGUAAGAGCACACCGCGCCGAUAGCAAUACCGGUGGCAGGGCAAACCCCACCAGG